rnacentral:rRNA from 2 species
UGGAUCUCAAAUCAACAAGACGACCCGCUGAAUUUAAG